ACUCCUACGGGAGGCAGCAGUAGGGAAUAUUGGUCAAUGGGUGAGAGCCUGAACCAGCCAUGCCGCGUGCAGGAAGACGGCCUUCUGGGUUGUAAACUGCUUUUACCAGGGAUGAAAACGACUCUGCGGAGUUAAUUGAAGGUACCUGGAGAAUAAGCACCGGCUAACUACGUGCCAGCAGCCGCGGUAAUACGUAGGGUGCAAGCGUUGUCCGGAUUUAUUGGGUUUAAAGGUGCGUAGGCGGGCUAUUAAGUCAGUGGUGAAAUCCAGCAGCUUAACUGUUGAUGUGCCAUUGAUACUGGUAGUCUUGAGUACAGAUGAGGUAGGCGGAAUUGACAGUGUAGCGGUGAAAUGCAUAGAUAUUGUCAAGAACUCCGAUAGCGAAGGCAGCUUACUGGGCUGUAACUGACGCUGAUGCACG
rnacentral:rRNA from 1 species